GACAGAGGUCUCAAGCGUUGUUCGGAUUCAUUGGGCGUAAAGGGUGUGUAGGUGGCGCCGUAAGUCGGGUGUGAAAUCUCGGAGCUUAACUCCGAAACUGCAUUCGAUACUGCGGUGCUUGAGGACUGGAGAGGAGACUGGAAUUCAUGGUGUAGCAGUGAAAUGCGUAGAGAUCAUGAGGAAGACCAGUGGCGAAGGCGGGUCUCUGGACAGUUCCUGACACUGAGACACGAAGGCCAGGGGAGCAAACGGG
rnacentral:rRNA from 1 species